UACGUAGGGGGCAAGCGUUGUCCGGAAUCAUUGGGCGUAAAGCGCGUGUAGGUGGUCCAGUCAGUCCGCUGUGAAAGGCCGAGGCUCAACCUCGGAAUGCCGGUGGAUACUGCUGGACUAGAGUCCGGAAGAGGCGAGUGGAAUUCCUGGUGUAGCGGUGAAAUGCGCAGAUAUCAGGAGGAACACCUAUAGCGAAGGCAGCUCGCUGGGACGGUACUGACACUGAGACGCGAAAGCGUGGGGAGCGAACAGG
rnacentral:rRNA from 1 species